rnacentral:misc_RNA from 1 species
AUGAGUUUCUUUAGUAAAGUAUUCGGUGGUAAAAAAGAACCGGCGCCUUUGUCAACAGCCGAUGCAAUACAAAAAUUACGAGAAACGGAAGAUAUGUUGAUAAAGAAACAAGAUUUCCUUGAAAAUAAAAUAGAAAUUGAAAUUCAAACUGCUAAGAAACAUGGAACAAAAAAUAAAAGAGCUGCAAUUCAAGCCCUUAAAAGAAAGAAACGUUAUGAAAAACAAUUGCAACAAAUUGAUGGUACACUUACUACAAUUGAAAGUCAAAGAGAAGCACUUGAAUGUGCGAAUACUAAUACUGCUGUACUUACCACAAUGAAAAAUGCAGCAGAUGCAUUAAAAUCUGUUCAUCAACAUAUGGAUGUUGAUCAAGUACAUGAUAUGAUGGAUGAUAUAGCUGAACAACAAGAUGUAGCAAGAGAAAUUUCUGAUGCAAUUUCUAACCCUGUAGCAUUUGGACAAGAUGUAGAUGAAGAAGAAUUAGAAAAAGAAUUGGAAGAACUUGAACAAGAACAACUAGAUAAAGAAUUACUUGGUAUUGAACCUACUGAUGAAUUACCAAGUGUUCCAGCUACUGCUAUUCCAACUGCCCCAACUAGGACUCGCACAAAAGCUAAACCUGAAGAGGAUGAAGAUUUAAAAGAAUUAGAAGCAUGGGCAUCAUAAGAUGCUUCAUAUGGUGUAACAAAAGGUGUCAAUUCUUCAGCCCAAAAUGGAAUAAAUUUUUCUAUCCUCAUAAAACGUUAAUGAGUAUAUCAUUCCAUCCAUUAAUAACAAGAUGAUAAGCAACUGAAUUAGCCACAAUUCCUGCACCUGCUAUAACAAUUUGUGAUUGCGAAGGUAUUGUUGUAUGAAAUGGAAAUUGUUGUGUUGUGUGAGAAUCAUGAUUAAAUUUUCUAUGAUUUUUAUUUUUA